GGGCAUCGUUCCACCUGACUUCCACAGAGCAAUCAAGUAGAGAGGACGUGCCGAUACCUGCCCGCAGAGAAGGGAUGUAGAGAGCAGGUGGGGAAAUCGAGGCAACGGGAGCUCCUCUGCUAAGCACCCCUGGGAUCUUCUGGUCCAGAAGGAGCUGUUCCAGCCCAGAGGGACCAUGGCCCAAGAUGAGGUCCCCUUAGGCCUUCCUGCCUCAGGUCCCGAGACCUCAGCUUUGGAGAUGAGAGAUGGAGCCUCGGCCAGAAAAAAAAAAAAAAUCCCGGCAUGAAGAUGCACACGUGCCAUGUGCAUAGGUCAGAAGGAGAUGUGUGCUUCCAGACACGUUCCUGGAUUCGGAGGCAGGAACAAAGAACUGUGAGCUCACCUGAGCUGGCCCUAGGAACCAAGCCAAGAUCCUCCAGGCCUGUCUGUCUCCUGCCCAGCGACGACCCUCAGGGAUGGUAAGGUGUUGCUGCCAGCCACCUCACCAGGAUAGCCAACUAUGCUUAAGAAGGGCCCAGCUCGUAGCCCUGAUGGUCAGCUUCAGCUGGAGGCCAUGGUGGCCAUCACUCUAGUUGAGCUCUCAUCCAGUUUAACACAUCUGGCUGGUUUUCCUAUGCUUAUGGCCACAUGGGUGGGAAGACUUCCUGCUGAGUUCAGUGUCUGCCAAGCCGGGCCCCAUCCACACUCACCCCUGCCUCCACUCCUCCCGGUCUCUAUGCCAGCCUGCCUUUAUCUCUCCCUCCAGACUUCCAGACUAUCCGGGAAGUGUUGCACUGAGGCAGAGUCUACGUAACUGCAAGGAUAUACACAGUGCCUGGCGUGCGAAGGUGAUACUGGAAUCUCUUCCACCACGUGGAAAGUCAACUGUCUCCACCAGAGCAGAGUGGGCUGGCUGCACUGAUAGGACCUGCCGGUUUAUAAGAGCCACACCCAUACUCCUGCUGUCCCCAGGGAGGAAUGGCCUGAAGAUGCCCAGUUCUUUCAGAUGGUGUCAUCGAUGACACUCCAGAAUCAGCCUUGCUUGUCAACUCCAGCAUCAGGAAGACAAAUAUCAAAUGUGAGAGAUGGAAAAGCUGAACUGCAUAACUCCGUCUUAACUAUCUGGAUGCUGAAGAGAGGAAAGGGAGGUGUGGCCGCUAUCCUAAUGGCGCUCACUCCACUUCCAAAGCUGGGCAGCCAUUCUCGUUGGAACUCAUACAUGCCUGCCGGAGUGAAAACUAAGAAGUGAACAGUCUCCAUGGUCACAAGCCUUGUCCCUUGGUCUUUACCUCCCCUCCCACAGUCCCAUCUUGGAAGUCAUGUGAUGUUUGUCUGUGUUGUUUACUUUCCUCCUGGCCACACACACACACACACACACACACACGUGCGUGCGCAUAUCAGAGCACACAUACAUCCUACAAACUGGCUUCCUUCUCUGUCUUCACAUACAUCUUACUACAGAAGACCGGAGCCUGUGGGGACUUAAGUGGCCAUACCUAAGAAAGUGCAGACAGACAGGGUGCACUGCAGUAGAAAGCUGAGGUGAGGUGCCAGGGAGAGGGGGAGAGAGGGUAACCCUUGGUUUGUCCUCCAUAUCCCCCAGAGUUCCAGACCUGCUCAGACAGGAAGUAAAGCCAGAGGUACCAGGGUGAGGAGCUGUGUGCCUCUCCAAAGAGGUGGUGGCAAGGAGACUGUGACCUCCCGGAAUGGGGAGGAACUGCCACUAGGGAAACACAUGGAAACC
rnacentral:lncRNA from 1 species